AACCUCCUCAACUCACACCUUGGUAGAAAAUUAAACCACUUCAUCACUCAUAUUAAUGGAUCAUCUUGGAAUUCAACCCUCUUCAACCAAGGUUGAAAGAAGGCUCGUAGAGAAAAACCGAAGAAACCAGAUGAAGAUCCUCUACAACAAACUCAACUCUCUUCUCCCUAGCUAUAACCCCAAGGAAGCAUUACCACUGCCUGACCCGCAUUACCACUGCCUGACCAAGUGGAUGAGGCAAUCAACUACAUAAAGAGUUUGGAGGCGAAGGUGAAGGUGGAGCAGGAGAAGAAAGAGAGGUUGCAGGGAGUUAGGAAGAGAUCUCGUGGUUGCUUCUCCAAUUCAUCCACUUCUAAUAAUUUAGCUGCAACGUUACCAAAAUCUCCACAACUUGAGAUUCACGAAGUUGGUUCCUCUCUGGAAGUUGUUCUCACUUGUGGGUUGGAUUACCAAUUCAUUUUCCAUGAAAUCAUUCGAAUGCUGCAUGAAGAGAACAUUGAUGUUAGAAGUGCCAAUUUCUCACACACUGGAGACUCGCUGCUUUAUGUUGUGCAUGCAGAGAUUCCUCAAUCUCUUCUUCAAUUCGGAGCAACCAAAGUGAGUGAGAGAUUGAAAAGGUUUGUGAAUGGAUCCUGCAGUGAUGUGGAAACACAGCCUGAGUUGUGGGAUUAUGAAAUUGGUACAGAUGAUAUGUGGGGUUUCUAGAUCUUACACUAAUAUGAAAGGAUGCAUGUAUUUUUAUUUUUGUAUGAUAAGCGGAAAAUAAUACUAUUAGCUAAUGUAUAAUUGACGAGUUUUAAGAGUAUUUCUGGUCGGUGAUAUUUUCCUUACACAAUGAGUUGUGUUUUUGACCGGGAAUUAACUAAGAAAAUAUAUGGUUUUUUUUUUCUUUUUUGGCUAUGAUUUGUAACUUUCAACAUUAAUUCGGAAGAUAAGUUUUCUCUUUCAUCAGAUUUGAUUAGUAGUACUACCUAACACAAUAUUAAGAGCUAGUUGGACGGUGGUCAGUUUCAUUGAAUUUGUUGUCAGGUUUUCAAACCACAGGACACGCUUAUAUAUGUCUGGAUUAUCGUUUGGACUAAUUAAUGACGAAUUUCACAAGCUUCUUCUAAAACUAUCUUAGUAUGAGAUUCUAUUUGAUGUAAAUAAGGAAAUAAAAAAUUGUUGGAAAAUGCAUUGAAUUGAACCGAAUGAAGAUACUUGGAUAGAAUUAAAUAUUCUCUCAUGAUAUAUAACAAAACAUCAAUUAAGGCAGUCUUUUCUAUCAUAUAUAGGGUUUCUGUUCAACAAGGCCUUUCUUUGCAAGAAACAAUAGGAAAACAAGGUAAUUGUUCUAAC